rnacentral:rRNA from 1 species
UACGUAGGGGGCAAGCGUUGUCCGGAUUUAUUGGGCGUAAAGAGCGUGUAGGCGGCCUGAAAGGUCAGCUGUGAAAACUCGAGGCUCAACCUCGAGACGUCGGUUGAAACCAUCUGGCUAGAGUCCGGAAGAGGAGUGUGGAAUUCCUGGUGUAGCGGUGAAAUGCGCAGAUAUCGGGAAGAACACCCGUGGCGAAGGCGGCACUCUGGGACGGUACUGACGCUGAGACGCGAAAGCGUGGGGAGCGAACAGG